UGGGGAAUCUUGGACAAUGGGGGCAACCCUGAUCCAGCCAUGCCGCGUGAGUGAUGAAGGCCUUAGGGUCGUAAAGCUCUUUCGCCUGUGAAGAUAAUGACGGUAGCAGGUAAAGAAACCCCGGCUAACUCCGUGCCAGCAGCCGCGGUAAUACGGAGGGGGUUAGCGUUGUUCGGAAUUACUGGGCGUAAAGCGCACGUAGGCGGACCAGAAAGUUGGGGGUGAAAUCCCGGGGGCUCAACCCCGGAACUGCCUCCAAAACUAUUGGUCUAGAGUUCGAGAGAGGUGAGUGGAAUUCCAAGUGUAGAGGUGAAAUUCGUAGAUAUUUGGAGGAACACCAGUGGCGAAGGCGGCUCACUGGCUCGAUACUGACGCUGAGGUGCGAAAGUGUGGGGAGCAAACAGGAUUAGAUACCCUGGGUAGUCCACGCCGUAAAACGAUGAGUGCUAG
rnacentral:rRNA from 1 species